CAGUCCCUCCUGCAGCAAAGCAACCUCACAACAUGAUGCUGCCACCCCCGUGCUUCACAGUUGGGAUGAUGUUCUUUGGCUUGCAAGCCUCCCCAUUUUUCCUCCAAACAGAAUGAUGGAAAUGGCUUCCUGAAAUCCCUCAAGCAGCUGAUUGGUCGACUCCAGGGCUAAUUGGAGAGCUGACCCCGCCCCCUCAUCAAGACACAGCUGUCUCCAAUUACCCAUUCCUUCAGAAGCUAUAUAAAAGCCAGUGUUCUGUUCAGGAGGAAGAUCUUUUUGUAGAGGAUUUUGCUGGAGGUAGAUUUGCUAGAGAGAUUUGCUGGGAGGUCAUUGUAGAGAUUUUGCUAGAGGUUGAUUUUGCUGGGAGUUCAUUGCUGAGAGUUGGUAUGUUUUGUGAGUUUGUUGCUCAGAUAGAACUUAUUUGAUGUCCUUUGUCUCUUAGUUUGUUUGUUUGAAAUUGUUUAAUAUUCUGUUUCAUUUGUUCCCAGGGGGGGAAGGGGAAGGCACCUAGGGAGUGCUUAGGCAAGAGGCCCGCGGGCAUACAUACACCCGUAGCAUAAUCGCUGUCUAGGCACACUAGGUAAGACCUGGGCGGACCACCCCUUGUAUUUUGGUUAGGGCACCAGGUGGUGCUAAAUUAGGUAAGUAGUGGGUAG
ensembl:lncRNA